rnacentral:rRNA from 1 species
GACGAACGCUGGCGGCGUGCUUAACACAUGCAAGUCGAACGAAGUGGCGAACGGGUGAGUAAUACGUGAGUAACCUGCCCUCCUUUUUGGGAUAAGCCUUGGAAACGGGGUCUAAUACCGAAUAAAGGGGGAUGGGCUCGCGGCCUAUCAGCUUGGUGGUGGGGUGAUGGCCUACCAAGGCGGUGACGGGUAGCCGGCCUGAGAGGGUGACCGGCGGCUUUGGGACUGGGAGACCGCCCAGAGUGCUACGGGAGGCGGCAGCGGGGGCGAAUGGACGAUAGGCGAAAGCCUGAGUCUGCGCCGCGGGCUGGGGGACGAAGGCUUUCUGGGUGUAGGCCUUUUUCCCUACCGAGCGGGUAGCUGCAGACGAAGCGACGGCUAACUACGUGCCAGCAGCCGCGGUAAUUC